AAUCAUUAGUCUUUUAAUUUGAGACUGGAAUGAAUGGCUUAACUAGUUUAUAUUGUCUCAUUCCAAUAUUUUGAACUUUAUAUUUUAGUAAAAAAGCUAAAAUAAAAUUUAAAGACGAGAAGACCCUAUCAAGCUUUAUAAUCUAAUUUUAUUUUCAUAUUAAGAUAAACAUUAUUUUACUGGGGCAGUGAGUAAAAACUUUUUACUUAAAUAUUGUGAAUUUGCUUCUUGCUAAAUCAAAAAUUUUUUAAAUAAGAACAAGUUACUGUAGGGAUAACAGCAUAAUUUUUUUUGAGAGAUCACAUCAACAAAAAAGUUUGUGACCUCGAUGUUGGAUUAAGAAUCCUAAUUUACGCAAUAGUAAAAUAAGG
rnacentral:rRNA from 1 species